rnacentral:ncRNA from 2 species
CUUUCAAUGAGGAAAAUAGGUACACAAAUACAACUAUUUGUGUUGAAAAGGGAAGAUUGGUGAAAUUCCAACGCGGUCCCGCCACUGUAACUGCUGAGAUUUUUUUCUAUGCCACUGUGAAAACGGGAAGGUGAAAAAAUUGUAUAAGGCAUAAGCCAGGAGACCUGCCUAUUUUAACAACACUGA